UACAGAGGUCUCAAGCGUUGUUCGGAAUCACUGGGCGUAAAGGGUGCGUAGGUGGCGUGGUAAGUCAGAUGUGAAAGCCCGGGGCUCAACCUCGGAAUUGCAUCCGAUACUACCAUGCUAGAGUACUGAAGAGGUGACUAGAAUUCUCGGUGUAGCAGUGAAAUGCGUAGAUAUCGAGAGGAAUACCAACGGCGAAGGCAGGUCACUGGGCAGUUACAGACACUGAGGCACGAAGGCCAGGGGAGCAAACGGG
rnacentral:rRNA from 1 species